rnacentral:tRNA from 1 species
GGAGAGAUGCCUGAGCGGUUGAAAGGGCCGGUCUCGAAAACCGGUAGCGGGCUUGUCCUGCUCGUGGGUUCGAAUCCCACUCUCUCCG